rnacentral:tRNA from 1 species
GCGGGCGAAGUGUUGUGGUGGCACGCGAGGCUUCCAACCUCGCAGGGCGGGUUCAAUUCCCGUCGCCCGCU